rnacentral:rRNA from 1 species
UUGCCUAUCCCCCAAAGCGGAGGAAAAGAAACCAACAGGGAUUGCCUCAGUAACGGCGAGUGAAGCGGCAACAGCUCAAAUUUGAAAUCUGGCCUCUCGGGGUCCGAGUUGUAAUUUGUAGAGGAUGUUUUGGGUACCGCCCCGGUCUAAAUUUCUUGGAACAGAAUGUCAGAGAGGGUGAGAAUCCCGUCUUGGACCGGCGGUAGGGCCUGUGUAAAACUCCUUCGACGAGUCGAGUUGUUUGGGAAUGCAGCUCAAAAUGGGUGGUAAAUUUCAUCUAAAGCUAAAUAUUGGCCAGAGACCGAUAGCGCACAAGUAGAGUGAUCGAAAGAUGAAAAGAACUUUGAAAAGAGAGUUAAACAGUAUGUGAAAUUGUUGAAAGGGAAGCGCUUGCAACCAGACUUGAGCGCGACGGUUCCCCUAGCCUUUUGGCUAGGUUACUCUGUCGUGUCCAGGCCAACAUCGGUUCUGAGGGCCGGUCAAAGGCCCCGGGAAUGUACCUACCCACGGGUAGACUUAUAGACCGGGGUGUCAUGCGGCCUCUCGGGACCGAGGAACGCGCUUCGGCUCGGAUGUUGGCGUAAUGGUUGUCAGCGACCCGUCUUGAAAACACCCGGACCAAA